rnacentral:rRNA from 1 species
AAUAGCCCAGAGAAAUUUGGAUUAAUGCCUCAUAGUAUAUAGAAAUGGCAUCAUUUUUAUAUUAAAGAUUUAUCGGUAAAAGAUGAGCAUGCGUUCUAUUAGUUAGUUGGUAAGGUAACGGCUUACCAAGACCGCGAUAGAUAGGGGUCCUGAGAGGGAGAUCCCCCACACUGGUACUGAGACACGGACCAGACUCAUACGGGAGGCAGCAGUGAGGAAUAUUGGACAAUGGGCGAGAGCCUGAUCCAGCCAUGCCGCGUGCAGGAAGACUGCCCUAUGGGUUGUAAACUGCUUUUAUACAGGAAGAAACACUGCUACGUGUAGCAGCUUGACGGUACUGUAAGAAUAAGGAUCGGCUAACUCCGUGCCAGCAGCCGCGGUAAUACGGAGGAUCCAAGCGUUAUCCGGAAUCAUUGGGUUUAAAGGGUCCGUAGGUGGAUAAUUAAGUCAGAGGUGAAAUCUUGCAGCUCAACUGUAAAAUUGCCUUUGAUACUGGUUAUCUUGAGUUAUUAUGAAGUAGUUAGAAUAUGUAGUGUAGCGGUGAAAUGCAUAGAUAUUACAUAGAAUACCAAUUGCG